UGCAGUCGAGCGGACAGAUGGGAGCUUGCUCCCUGAAGUCAGCGGCGGNCGGGUGAGUAACACGUGGGCAACCUGCCUGUAAGACUGGGAUAACUCCGGGAAACCGGGGCUAAUACCGGAUAAUUCUUUCCCUCACAUGAGGGAAAGCUGAAAGAUGGUUUCGGCUAUCACUUACAGAUGGGCCCGCGGCGCAUUAGCUAGUUGGUGAGGUAACGGCUCACCAAGGCAACGAUGCGUAGCCGACCUGAGAGGGUGAUCGGCCACACUGGGACUGAGACACGGCCCAGACUCCUACGGGAGGCAGCAGUAGGGAAUCUUCCGCAAUGGACGAAAGUCUGACGGAGCAACGCCGCGUGAGUGAUGAAGGUUUUCGGAUCGUAAAACUCUGUUGUUAGGGAAGAACAAGUACCGGAGUAACUGCCGGUACCUUGACGGUACCUAACCAGAAAGCCACGGCUAACUACGUGCCAGCAGCCGCGGUAAUACGUAGGUGGCAAGCGUUGUCCGGAAUUAUUGGGCGUAAAGCGCGCGCAGGCGGUUCCUUAAGUCUGAUGUGAAAGCCCCCGGCUCAACCGGGGAGGGUCAUUGGAAACUGGGGGAACUUGAGUGCANAANANAAGAGUGNAAUUCCACGUGUAGCGGUGAAAUGC
rnacentral:rRNA from 1 species